ACAUCACAUGAAAACACUGAUACCCUUAUGAUCACUGAAGUUAGGCAACACUGAACCUGGUCAGUACCUAGAUGGGUGACCACUUGGGAAUACCAGUUGCUGUAAG